AUGGCGGAGAGUGGGUCAAUUUAUAUAGAAUUAGAUUUGGAGUUCGGAGAGCUUUUGAAAGACUGGAUAGAUGAUUGGUUAGAUGAGGAAAAUUCGGAGCACGGAGAUUGGCCAGAGAAUGCGAACGAAGGGGAAGAUGUUAAUGUGACAGAAGAUGAGGGGAAAGAGAAUGUCCAAGAUACUGCCGAUGCAGAUGAUAAGAGGGAUAUGUUCAGGAAGAUAAUGGAUAUGACUUUUAUGUCUUUAGAAGCUGCCUUUGUUUUCUACGACAGCUAUGCUAGAGAUAAUGGUUUCAGCAUUAGAAAGGAUAAGGUCAGAUACAGCAAAACUGAGUCACAUCACAUGAACUAUAUGAGAUAUGUUUGUUCCAGAGAAGGGAAACGUGAUAGCAAGUUGCUAACCGAGGAAGGACACACUCGUAGGCUGAGAGCCGAGACACGUUGCCACUGCGAUGCGCACCUGGCCUUGAAGCUUGACGAAAAGCGUGGGAUUUGGUAUGUUGGUAGUUUUGAGGACAAGCACAGUCAUAUGUUAGCAAGACCGGAUGAAGUACCUUUUCUUUGGUCUCACAGAAAAAUCAAAGAGUACCAGAAAGCUGAGAUAAUAGCAAUGGGAGCCGCAGGGAUUAGAACUCACACUAUUAUGGAUUCUUUCAUCAGCAAACAUGUAAGGUACGGUGGUGUUGGGUUUACAAGGCGUGAUAUAUACAACCUUAUAUCUAGGGAGAAGAGGAAGCUACUUUCAAAAGGUGAUGCUGCCACAUCCAUAGGCAUCAUGGCUAGUAGGAAAAAGAGGGAUCAUAGCUUCUUUUUCGAGUACAAGUUAGAUAAGGAUGGACAUCUGAAUAGAAUGUUCUGGUGUGACUCCCGAUCUCAGCAGGACUAUGAGGAUUUUGGUGACGUAGUUGUAUUUGACAGCACAUACUAG
rnacentral:rRNA from 1 species